rnacentral:rRNA from 1 species
UACGUAGGCAGCGAGCGUUGUUCGGAAUUACUGGGCGUAAAGAGUGUGUAGGCGGUGCUCCCAGUCUGUUGUGAAAUCUCCCGGCUUAACUGGGAGGGUGCAGCGGAAACUAGAGUGCUAGAGGGUGGGAGAGGUAAGCGGAAUUCCUGGUGUAGCGGUGAAAUGCGUAGAUAUCGGGAGGAACACCAGUGGCGAAGGCGGCGACCUGGGCCAAUAUUGACGCUGAGGUGCGAAAGCGUGGGGAGCAAACAGG